GCAGCACCACGAGCCAAGCACCACCAGCCUCUCAUCUGCUCUCACCAUGCAUGCACACAUGCACUCUCACUCCACUUGUACACGUGCAUGUACACUCACGAACACACACAACACACAUUAAUUAACUCUCUCUCCGUCGGUGGAUACAGCAAGCACAGACAUGCAUGCUUUAACUCUCACUCACUGCACCACGCACACAGCCACACACACUUAGACAGCAGCGCUGCAUCCCCUUCCCCUGCUCUCCGCUAUCAAGCAGCACCACCACACGCCACUCUCUCUCGCCAUCCUUCUCCAAUGAGCAAGCCAGCCACCCAGAGCCGCGCUGCCACAGACGACGAAGACGGCGGCCAUGAGCGUGAAGAGGACAACGCCGACACGGAAGCCGACGCCGAGUCACCGACGGCCACGACGAGCUGAACCCGCUGCCGGGGGCAACGACGACGUCGACGGCCACGAGCACGAGGGAGCCGAGCCGGAGAUCAACAUCGACGCCGACGCCGCGAGCCGAGGAACAAUGCCGAAGCCGAACAGCAAGCACACGCCGUCGCCGCUCUACCGCGAGCCUGCGUCACCUCACCACGCCCCGUCUUGUUUCGUGCCUCGCCGCGACCUUCGACGAGCCCUAUGGUGAGCAAUAUGUGCUAUGGUACUUCUCAAACUGCUCGUCAAGCAAAGUGGCCGUUUUUCUUUACAAAAAUAAAAGCAGGAAUACAUCCGGUACACACUUUAACCUCUUAUAAGUUAUAUGUAACCACGUGCUUUGCAUUCUUGCCGUUUUCUUCUAGAAAAAUAAAUGAGAGAAAAUAGGAGACCUCAUGGCGCAUUCUUGCCGUUUUCUUUCAAAAAAAAAGAGGAGAAAUGCACUCACCUCUUAAUCUGUUUUAAGUUUCAAACUUGCGUAACUUGCCCAAAUAAAUUUCAAAUUAAAUACUUCCUUUUUUUAGAGAAACUUUUCUAAAAAUCAUGCUCCAUCAUCUCAAAGUAUUUUAUUUAGUUGUUGAUUGUUGUUUAUUUGGUUCUUUUGCAUGUGCUUUCUUUCGUCCGAUUCGCGUACACGACGAGACAUUCGUAACUGCGCCGGAUGCCGAGCAAAACGCUGAGCUAAUGCUCGAGAAUAUAAACGAUCUGCAACAAGGCAAGCACCUCCUUGAUCAUUCUUAUUCCUAUUUAAUUUCCUAAACCUACAAUUAUUUGCAUGCGAAGAUGAUUUUAUGAGUCCAAAUGUUAUUUUAUAUCGGGUAGACACGUCCUACUUCAAUGCAUGUACCUUCCUUGUUAUUUCGUACCCCUUUUAUAUCUUGUUACCCUAAGGUUAUGGGUUAUUCGCGUAGUUCAGAGUCACAUGCUUAGUUGGCUUAGUAUAUGCGCAGUAGUCAAUUAGUAUCACAUGGGUUGGUUUCUUUUAAAGAAAAUAUACAUUUAUAUGGUUAUUUUUAAAGAAUAAAAACUCUAUGGUAGACGCGGGUGAAUAUAUGUCUAGCAGAUAUGAUGGUAUGACGAUGAAGAAAAAGAAUAUGGAUGAUAAAAUGGAUGGAAAAAUAGAUGAUGGAUAUGGCUUAGUUCUGUAUGCGUUUCCGGCGCAUUUUAGGAAUUUAUCACCCGUGUCAAUUUAAGGACCGGUAAUUGGCACUAUUCUAGUCAAGUAUUACAGUGCAACCAUACGGCUAAAUGAGCAUUGGCCUUAGUUUAUUAAGUCAGUUGCCCCCGAGAGGAUGCUACCGCCCGAGUGUUCGAGGAGUUCGUCGGUGUCGGGGUAGCUAACUCGGGCAGAUGUACGGAGCCGAGAAACUCCUACAGUCUGUCGAGUAGCAUAUCUUGGGUUCAGCAACGUAACGGCUUUGUCAUGUUACCUUGCCGACACAUCAAAGGAAUUGUGUAAAUGCGCAUUGGCUCCGUGCUGGCAUCAAAGCGAAACAUGUCGUAUGGGUAAAGUGUACAACCUCUGCAGAGUGUAAAACUAUUCGAAUAGCCGUGCUCACGGUCAUGAGCGCUUGAGCUAGUCGCUGGUUUUAGAACUUUUGAUUUGAAAACUUGGUGAGGGAAUUGUUUGAUAACACUUGCACCGGUUCAAAGGUUGUGGACCGAUAUAGAUGGUCAAAGGACCGCGAAAUGGGAAAUGGGGAGUCAUGAUUUUUAAAGUCGGUCUAUUUUAUAUAAAAUAAAAUAUUUUCAAAAUUACGCAUAUAAAGAUACACCCAAAUAAAAUACAGCCUAGUGCUAGUGAACUUGUCAGCCUUCUUUGAUUAACCAUGCAUGUAGUAUAGGAUUUUUUAUAUACACCCGAAGUCUUGCGAGUACAAAAUUGUACUCACCCUUGUUGCUAAAAUUUUACAAUCCUGAGUUCGAAGAAGAGCCGUCUCGGUUCAGUUCCUUGCCAAAGGAUGCGGGUUUUCGACGUUGGUUCUUUCUAGGACCAACUCCCAGUCAGUUGUCUGUGGGAAAUGUUUUGAGUGCGGUUGUGAUACCGGUGCUGUUGUGCGUGCUUGCGGACUGAUCAUGGGACAAGUACAGUAAAGCACAACGGGAACCUGGGUAUUUGCCAACCCGGGGGCCCACAAUCUAUAAUUUUAGAACGGAGGGAGUAAGUAGCAAUUUGAUUAAGAUGUGUCACAAUUCAGAAAUAGUAGGUUGUGGCAUUUUUCCAUCAUGUAAUCAUCUACAGUGCAAUCCGAUGUUAGCAAGUAGCAACAUAUGCUCAAUAUUUAAUAUUAAUUUCGCGUCACCUGCUUUUGCACA